rnacentral:rRNA from 1 species
AGAGUUUGAUCCUGGCUCAGGAUGAACGCUAGCUACAGGCUUAACACAUGCAAGUCGAGGGGCAGCAUGGUCUUAGCUUGCUAAGGCCGAUGGCGACCGGCGCACGGGUGAGUAACGCGUAUCCAACCUGCCUUACACUCUUGGACAGCCUUCUGAAAGGGAGAUUAAUACAAGAUGUUAUCAUGAGUAAGCAUUUUCGCAUGAUUAAAGGUUACCGGUGUAAGAUGGGGAUGCGUUCCAUUAGAUAGGUAGGCGGGUAACGGCCACCUAGUCUUCGAUGGAUAGGGGUUCUGAGAGGAACGGUCCCCCANAUUGGAACUGAGACACGGUCCAAACUCCGUACGGGAGCA